AGUGAACGCUGGCGGUAGGCCUAACACAUGCAGGUCGAACGGCAGCACAGUAAGAGCUUGCUCUUACGGGUGGCGAGUGGCGGACGGGUGAGGAAUACAUCGGAAUCUACUUUUUCGUGGGGGAUAACGUAGGGAAACUUACGCUAAUACCGCAUACGACCUACGGGUGAAAGCAGGGGAUCUUCGGACCUUGCGCGAUUGAAUGAGCCGAUGUCGGAUUAGCUAGUUGGCGGGGUAAAGGCCCACCAAGGCGACGAUCCGUAGCUGGUCUGAGAGGAUGAUCAGCCACACUGGAACUGAGACACGGUCCAGACUCCUACGGGAGGCAGCAGUGGGGAAUAUUGGACAAUGGGCGCAAGCCUGAUCCAGCCAUACCGCGUGGGUGAAGAAGGCCUUCGGGUUGUAAAGCCCUUUUGUUGGGAAAGAAAAGCAGCAGGUUAAUACCCCGCUGUUCGGACGGUACCCAAAGAAUAAGCACCGGCUAACUUCGU
rnacentral:rRNA from 1 species